CCGGGUUUGUGAGAGCAUUGUAGUACAACUCUGAGCGGUGGAUCACUCGGCUCGUGUGUCGAUGAAGAGUGCAGCCAACUGUGUGAAUUAAUGUGACCUGCGGAAUGCUUUGAACAUCGACAUCUUGAACGCAUAUUGCGGCCGCGGGGUAUCCCGUGGCCACGCCUGGCCGAGGGUCGGCUUAUCAUUUAUCACGACGCCCAAUUAGUCGUGGCUUGGAAGUUGUGCCAGCUGGCUUGUUUUCCCCAAUCAUGGGGUGCUGUGCUAUGGCUCCUUCCUAAUGUGUCCGGUUACAUCCAACGUGGGAUUUGAUUCUCGGGUUGGGAUGUGGCGUUGGAUAUUGCAUGAGUCGUGGCUCAAUGAUUUGAUCGCGCUCAUGCCUUGUUCACGCUAUGUUCCUUUUCGAAGAUCGGUUUCAUAUAAUGGGCAAUGUAACUGAUGCGGUGUGCUUAUGCG
rnacentral:rRNA from 1 species